CCUACGGGAGGCAGCAGUGAGGAAUAUUGGUCAAUGGACGAGACUCUGAACCAGCCAAGUCGCGUGAAGGAUGACUGCCCUCUGGGUUGUAACCUUCUUUUAUAUGGGAAUAAACCAGGGUAUGCAUACCCUCUUGUAUGUACCAUAUGAAUAAGGAUCGGCUAACUCCGUGCCAUCAGCCGCGGUAAUACGGAGGAUCCGAGCGUGAACCGGAUUUAUUGGGUUUAAAGGGAGCGUAGAUGGGUUGUUAAGUCAGUUGUGAAAGUUUGCGGCUUAACCGUAAAAUUGCAAUUGAUACUGGGAGUCUUGAGUACAGUUGAGGUAGGUAGAAUUCUUGGUGUAGCGGUGAAAUGCGUAGAGAUCACGAAGAACUCCGAUUGCGAAGGCAGCUUACUAAACUGCCACUGACAUUGAUGCUCGAAAGUGUGGGUAUCAAACAGGAUUAGAUACCCUUGUAGUC
rnacentral:rRNA from 1 species